rnacentral:rRNA from 1 species
UACGUAGGGUGCGAGCGUUAAUCGGAAUUACAGGGCGUAAAGCGUGCGCAGGCGGCUUUGCAAGACAGAUGUGAAAUCCCCGGGCUCAACCUGGGAACUGCAUUUGUGACUGCAAGGCUAGAGUACGGCAGAGGGGGAUGGAAUUCCGCGUGUAGCAGUGAAAUGCGUAGAUAUGCGGAGGAACACCAAUGGCGAAGGCAAUCCCCUGGGCCUGUACUGACGCUCAUGCACGAAAGCGUGGGGAGCAAACAGG